rnacentral:rRNA from 1 species
GUUCGCUAGUCUCCGUCGUCCGCCGGACGUUAAGCUGCUCUGGUCGAGGAUAAACGACCCCUCUGACCGAGGCUAAUCCGUCGUCCGUGUUACCGCUCCGGCACACGUUAAAGAGCGUUCCGCGUUGUGAGUCUCGAUCCAUUCGGUGAUAACAAAAUCGUUUACAACCGGUAGCGAUGGAUCCCUUGGCACGUCAUUCGAUGAAGACCGUUGCAAAUUGCGAUAAAGUGAUGUGAUGCGCAAGUCCACCACUUAUACGUGAAUCAUCGAGUUGUUGAACGCAUUGCACCGCGCCCUAAACCGGCUGCGGUAUGCCCCUUUGAGCGUCAUUGCAUACCUUCGGGAGUCCUUUCAUGUUUUUCGUGAGGGACCCGAGUUCGGAGUCCUCGGUCCUUUGGGAUCGUGUUCUCUCAGAUGCAUCGCGCCGAUCGCCUGAUGGGUAACUCUAAUGCCUGAGCGUGGAGUCCCUCGGAGUCGAGACGUGCUGGACCGGGUGUCGAAGCCCGUGUCUCCAAGUUCGAGACGGCAGACCUCUGCCUCUCGGUACUACAACCACAUGACCUCAUUGGGGUAGGACAACCCGCUAGACUUAAGCAUAUUAAUCAGCGGAGGAAAAGAAACUAACCAGGAUUCCCUCAGUAACUGCGAGUGAAGCGGGAUCGGCUCAAUGUGUGAAUCUGCCUCGGGGUACAUCCCGGGUUCGAGUUGUGCACUAUGGACGUUUCGUCUGCGUUUGUAAAGGCGGUGGAAGUCCGUUGAAACACGGCACCUCAGAGGGUCAUAGUCCUGUACCACCUGUCUGCACUCGCGCCAAUGACAAGCGCUCCUCGAGUCGCGUAGUUUUGUAUUGCUGCGCCAAGUGGGAGGUAGAGACCUUCUAAGGCUAAAUAUGAUGACGUGACCGAUAGCACACAAGUACCGCGAGGGAAAGGUGAAAAGCAACCAUGAAAAAUGGGUUGAAACAGUAGUGAAAUCGCUACCGGGAUAAGGGCUAUCGGGUGCUGGGGCUUAUCGGGUGUGCUUUAGUGCUACCCUUUGAGACGGCCCGCGCGGGUUGAUGUUGGGGCGAUAAACGCGCCGUA